UACAGAGGGGGCAAGCGUUGUCCGGAAUUACUGGGCGUAAAGGGCGCGUAGGCGGCCUUCUAAGUCGAACGUGAAAUCCCUGGGCUCAACCCAGGAACUGCGUCCGAUACUGGGAGGCUUGAAUCCGGGAGAGGGAUGUGGAAUUCCAGGUGUAGCGGUGAAAUGCGUAGAUAUCUGGAGGAACACCGGUGGCGAAGGCGGCAUCCUGGACCGGUAUUGACGCUGAUGCGCGAAAGCCAGGGGAGCAAACGGG
rnacentral:rRNA from 1 species